rnacentral:rRNA from 1 species
AUGGCUCAGAUUGAACGCUGGCGGCAGGCCUAACACAUGCAAGUCGAGCGGUAGCACAGAGAGCUUGCUCUCGGGUGACGAGCGGCGGACGGGUGAGUAAUGUCUGGGAAACUGCCUGAUGGAGGGGGAUAACUACUGGAAACGGUAGCUAAUACCGCAUAACGUCGCAAGACCAAAGUGGGGGACCUUCGGGCCUCAUGCCAUCAGAUGUGCCCAGAUGGGAUUAGCUAGUAGGUGGGGUAACGGCUCACCUAGGCGACGAUCCCUAGCUGGUCUGAGAGGAUGACCAGCCACACUGGAACUGAGACACGGUCCAGACUCCUACGGGAGGCAGCAGUGGGGAAUAUUGCACAAUGGGCGCAAGCCUGAUGCAGCCAUGCCGCGUGUGUGAAGAAGGCCUUCGGGUUGUAAAGCACUUUCAGCGGGGAGGAAGGCGGUGAGGUUAAUAACCUCAUCGAUUGACGUUACCCGCAGAAGAAGCACCGGCUAACUCCGUGCCAGCAGCCGCGGUAAUACGGAGGGUGCAAGCGUUAAUCGGAAUUACUGGGCGUAAAGCGCACGCAGGCGGUCUGUCAAGUCGGAUGUGAAAUCCCCGGGCUCAACCUGGGAACUGCAUUCGAAACUGGCAGGCUAGAGUCUUGUAGAGGGGGGUAGAAUUCCAGGUGUAGCGGUGAAAUGCGUAGAGAUCUGGAGGAAUACCGGUGGCGAAGGCGGCCCCCUGGACAAAGACUGACGCUCAGGUGCGAAAGCGUGGGGAGCAAACAGGAUUAGAUACCCUGGUAGUCCACGCUGUAAACGAUGUCGAUUUGGAGGUUGUGCCCUUGAGGCGUGGCUUCCGGAGCUAACGCGUUAAAUCGACCGCCUGGGGUACGGCCGCAAGGUUAAAACUCAAAUGAAUUGACGGGGCCCGCACAAGCGGUGGAGCAUGUGGUUUAAUUCGAUGCAACGCGAAGAACCUUACCUGGUCUUGACAUCCACAGAACUUUCCAGAGAUGGAUUGGUGCCUUCGGGAACUGUGAGACAGGUGCUGCAUGGCUGUCGUCAGCUCGUGUUGUGAAAUGUUGGGUUAAGUCCCGCAACGAGCGCAACCCUUAUCCUUUGUUGCCAGCGGUUCGGCCGGGAACUCAAAGGAGACUGCCAGUGAUAAACUGGAGGAAGGUGGGGAUGACGUCAAGUCAUCAUGGCCCUUACGACCAGGGCUACACACGUGCUACAAUGGCAUAUACAAAGAGAAGCGACCUCGCGAGAGCAAGCGGACCUCAUAAAGUAUGUCGUAGUCCGGAUUGGAGUCUGCAACUCGACUCCAUGAAGUCGGAAUCGCUAGUAAUCGUAGAUCAGAAUGCUACGGUGAAUACGUUCCCGGGCCUUGUACACACCGCCCGUCACACCAUGGGAGUGGGUUGCAAAAGAAGUAGGUAG